UGCAUUUCUUCCAGGGCUGUUGCAGAUUCUGCAACAACCUGAUAGUUUAGCCAUUAGCAGAGUUUGUAGCCUGUUUAAAAAGCUUUGCUGCUGGCAGCCUGCAAAUGUAUCUUUUUGUUCUGGAGACCGCCUCUUUUCCUGGGGAAAGAAGGCUCCAUUUUGAGAAGCCUCUUGCCUUCUAGACAGAAAGAAAAAGAACUCAGAUGUGCUUGUGUGGCCAAGCCAGGCCAUCUCUGACAAAGCCAUCGCUCUCAUAUUCCUCUCAGCAUUUUACGCUAAAGAAAAGAAAGGCAUAUACUUCUGUCACCAAAAUCUCAUUAUUCUUGUUGCCGCACCACUCCAUAUGCUCUCCCUGUGGAGUUAUAGCUAAUUGAAAUGGCAUUUACCACCUGUAGAUGAUGCUGAACAGCACCCACCUCACUCGAAUGCAGGGCCUGUGUAGAAGAACCCUCAGUGACAUCAAUGAUACCAGGUGCUGUGGGCUAUGUUUGAGAGGAAGAAGCUGGCAAUACUGGAAUUAUUACUUGCCUAGAAAAACUCUAUGGAAUUCAUGGAAUCCUCAUAUGUUGACAGGUGACCUCAUAUGUUGACAGAGACCCUGACCAUCUUUGAUGACAUCUGGGACUUCCUUGCAGAAUAAGGAUUUUUUUAAAGAGGAAGAGGAGGAAUAUUGUAGGAUUGGCACUAUCCCUGUCCAUCUUUCGUAAGGAUCUUAAAAUAUGGCUAUUUCGAUGUGCCUUCGAAUGAAUAGUCCCAGUUAGAUACUUAGCUUGUUACAACUAUUGUACUUUAUCAAUGUCUCUCACCCUUGUUGAUUUUAAUUUCUAAAUGAAACCUACCUGUCUUCCUUGAUCGCCCUAUAUUUUAUCCUUGACCCUCACAUAGAGUCAGUACAGUUUUACCCCUACAUAUUUUGCACUAUGCUCAGACUCAAACGACUUGAUAUGUUAUGUUUUUAUGAUGUUUAUGCUGUUAUAUUGUUGUUAUUGUUAUAUUGGUUUAAAUUGUGAUUGUGUUUUAAUGUAUGCUGAUGUUGGGCUUGUGCCCAUGUGAGCCUCCCCGAGUCCCCUUGGGGAGAUGGGAGCGGGAUAUAAAAAUAAAGUUGUUGUUGUUGUUGUUGUUGUUGUUGUUGUAUGAAUCAUAGAAUCAUAGAAUAGUAGAGUUGGAAGAGACCUCAUGGGCCAUCCAGUCCAACCCCCUGCCAAGAAGCAGGAAAUCGCAUUCAAAGCACCCCCGAGAGAUGGCCAUCCAGCCUCUGUUUAAAAGCCUCCAAAGAAGGAGCCUCCACCACAGCCCGGGGAGAGAGUUCCACUGCCGAACAGCCCUCACAGUGAGGAAGUUCUUCCUGAUGUUCAGGUGGAAUCUCCUUUCCUGUAGUUUGAAGCCAUUGUUCCGUCUCCUAGUCUGCAGGGCAGCAGAAAACAAGCUUGGUCCCUCCUCCCUAUGACUUUUCACGUAUUUGUACAUGGCUAUCAUGUCUCCUCUCAGCCUUCUCUUCUGCAGGCUAAACAUGCCCAGCUCUUUAAGCCGCUCCUUGGCAUGUUUAGCCUGCAGAAACACAGCAAACAAGAUAGAAAUGCUGGAUUUUGUUUCACAAAAUCACAAGUUGAACACUUCCCAAGUGUCUAGGACUGUGUGAUGUAUUUUCAGAUGAUGCGCGCAGAUCCCAGCAGGGUGGCCUUUUGCAAUUGGCAGAUCGUAAUUUUGUCAAUGUCUAUUGUUUCCAAAUGCCGGCUGAGAUCUUUUGGGAUGGCACCCAAUGUACUGGUUUCUGCCAGAGUCUUUGAAGUUCAAUCUUGAGUUCCUGAUAGCGGCUGAGUUUUUCCUGUUGUUUUUCAUCAAUGUGACUGUCACCUGGGAUGGCAACAUCAAUGAUCAGAGCCAGCCCUAGGUAUUUUUCAAGUGUAGGCGAACAGAAUUUUGCCCCCCCCCCCCGCAAACCAAUCACUGAAAAAUAAAAGCGUUGGAUAAGCGAAAAAUGUUGGAUAAUAAGGAGGGAUUAAGGAAAAGCCUAUUAAACAUCAAAUUACAUUAAUAUUUUACAAAUUAAGCACCAAAACAUCAUGUUUUACAACAAAUCAACAGAAAAAGCAGUCUCGACUGCGCCCCCGUAUGUUUUGUGCCCAAGGCGACUGCUUAAUUAGCCUCAUUGUUGGACCGGCUCUGUCAAUGAUCCAAACCUUUUUCUUUUCCACAACUGUGAUGUCUGGUGUGUUGUGUUCCAGAACUUUGUCAGUCUGGAUUCGGAAAUCCCACAGUAUCUUUGCUUGCUCGUUUUCCAAUACUUUUGCAGGUUUGUGAUCUCACCAGUUCUUUACUGCCGGGAGGUGGUGCUUGAGGCAUAAGUUCCAAUGAAUCAUUUGUACCACAUAGUUGUGCCUCUGUUUGUAAUCUGUUUGUUGUUGUUGUUGUUGUUGUUAUUAUUAUUUUAUUGUAUGACACAGCAAACAAGAUAGAUAUGCUGGAUUUCAUAUCACAAAAUCAAAAGUCGAACACUUCCCAAGUGUCUAGGACUGUGUGAUGUAUUUUCGGAUGAUGCACGCAGAUCCCAGCAGGGUGGCCUUUUGCAGUUGGCAGAUCGUAAUUUUGUCAAUGUCUAUUGUUUCCAAAUGCCGGCUGAGAUCUUUUGGCACGGCACCCAGUGUGCCGAUCACCACUGGGACCACCUGCACUGGU